rnacentral:rRNA from 1 species
AACGAACGCUGGCGGCAUGCCUAACACAUGCAAGUCGAACGAGACCUUCGGGUCUAGUGGCGCACGGGUGCGUAACGCGUGGGAACCUGCCCUUAGGUUCGGAAUAACUCCCCGAAAGGGGUGCUAAUACCGGUUAAUGUCUUCCGACCAAAGAUUUCUCGCUUUUGGAUGGGCCCGGGUUGGUUUCGCUAGUUGGUAGGGUAAAAGCCGGCCAAGGCGUCGAUCCAUAGCUGGUCUGAGAGGAUGACACGCCACACUGGGACUGAGACACGGACCAGACUCCUAGGGGAGGCAGCAGUGGGGAAUAUUGGACGAUGGGGGAAAGCGUGAUCCAGCAAUGCCGCGUGAGUGAUGAAGGCCUUAGGGUUGUAAAGCUCUUUUACCCGGGAUGAUAAUGACAGUACCGGGAGAAUAAGCUCCGGCUAACUCCGUG